rnacentral:rRNA from 1 species
GACGAACGCUGGCGGCGUGCUUAACACAUGCAAGUCGAACGGUAAAGCCCUGCUUUUGUGCUGUGCUCGAGUGGCAAACGGGUGAGGAACACGUGAGUAACCUACCCUGUACUUUGGGAUAACUUCAGGAAACGGGGGCUAAGACCGGCUAGGAGCUCCUGCUUCAAGGAUUGGGUUGGAAAGUUUCGGCGGUUGGGGAUGGACUCGCGGCUUAUCAGCUUGUUGGUGGGGUAGUGGCUUACCAAGGCUUUGGCGGGUAGCCGGCCUGAGAGGGUGACCGGCAACAGUGGGACUGGGACACGGACAAGACUCCGACGGGAGGGAGCAGUAGGGAAGGUUACAAAAUGGGAGGAAGCCUGAUGCAGCAACGCCGAGUGCGGGAUGACGGUGUUCGGGUUGUAAACCGCUUUCGCUUGUGAAGAAGAGUGAGUGAAGGUAAUGGGUAAAGAAGCACCGGCUAACUACGUG